GACGUAGGGGGCCAGCGUUGUCCGGAAUCACUGGGCGUAAAGGGUGCGUAGGCGGGUUUUUAAGUCGGGGGUGAAAUCCUGGAGCUCAACUCCAGAACUGCCUUUGAUACUGAAGAUCUUGAGUUCGGGAGAGGUGAGUGGAACUGCGAGUGUAGAGGUGAAAUUCGUAGAUAUUCGCAAGAACACCAGUGGCGAAGGCGGCUCACUGGCCAGGUACUGACGCUGAGGUGCGAAAGCGUGGGGAGCAAACAGG
rnacentral:rRNA from 1 species